UUCGAAAUGCAGCGAGACUCGGUUGCGUAGAUUCC
rnacentral:rRNA from 2 species